AAUGACUUGUGGUCCGAAUCCU
rnacentral:siRNA from 1 species